rnacentral:rRNA from 1 species
GGUGAAGUGGUUUACCCAUGGAGCUGAAAUCAGUCGAAGAUACCAGCUGGCUGCAACUGUUUAUUAAAAACACAGCACUGUGCAAACACGAAAGUGGACGUAUACGGUGUGACGCCUGCCCGGUGCCGGAAGGUUAAUUGAUGGGGUUAUCCGUAAGGAGAAGCUCUUGAUCGAAGCCCCGGUAAACGGCGGCCGUAACUAUAACGGUCCUAAGGUAGCGAAAUUCCUUGUCGGGUAAGUUCCGACCUGCACGAAUGGCGUAAUGAUGGCCAGGCUGUCUCCACCCGAGACUCAGUGAAAUUGAACUCGCUGUGAAGAUGCAGUGUACCCGCGGCAAGACGGAAAGACCCCGUGAACCUUUACUAUAGCUUGACACUGAACACUGGUCCUUGAUGUGUAGGAUAGGUGGGAGGCUUUGAAGUGUGGACGCCAGUCUGCAUGGAGCCAUCCUUGAAAUACCACCCUUUAAUGGCUGGUGUUCUAACGUAGACCCGUGAUCCGGGUUGCGGACAGUGUCUGGUGGGUAGUUUGACUGGGGCGGUCUCCUCCUAAAGAGUAACGGAGGAGCACGAAGGUUAGCUAAUCCUGGUCGGACAUCAGGAGGUUAGUGCAAAGGCAUAAGCUAGCUUGACUGCGAGAGUGACGGCUCGAGCAGGUGCGAAAGCAGGUCUUAGUGAUCCGGUGGUUCUGAAUGGAAGGGCCAUCGCUCAACGGAUAAAAGGUACUCCGGGGAUAACAGGCUGAUACCGCCCAAGAGUUCAUAUCGACGGCGGUGUUUGGCACCUCGAUGUCGGCUCAUCACAUCCUGGGGCUGAAGUAGGUCCCAAGGGUAUGGCUGUUCGCCAUUUAAAGUGGUACGCGAGCUGGGUUUAGAACGUCGUGAGACAGUUCGGUCCCUAUCUGCCGUGGGCGCUGGAGAAUUGAGGGGGGCUGCUCCUAGUACGAGAGGACCGGAGUGGACGCAUCACUGGUGUUCGGGUUGUCAUGCCAAUGGCAUUGCCCGGUAGCUAAAUGCGGAAGAGAUAAGUGCUGAAAGCAUCUAAGCACGAAACUUGCCCCGAGAUGAGUUCUCCCUGACUCCUUGAGAGUCCUGAAGGAACGUUGAAGACGACGACGUUGAUAGGUCGGGUGUGUAAGUGUAGCGAUACAUUGAGCUAACCGAUACUAAUGAACCGUGAGGCUUAACCUU